rnacentral:rRNA from 1 species
AAUGAACGUUGGCGGCGUGGAUUAGGCAUGCAAGUCGCGCGCGUAGCAAUACGAGCGGCGAAAGGGACAGUAAUGUAUCGAUUAUCUGCCUUCAGGACAGGGAUAGCGGCGGGAAACUGCCGGUAAUACCUGAUAAUGUCUCCGGACCAAAGGUGUGAGUCCGCCUGAAGAUGAGUCGAUAUCCUAUUAGCUAGUUGGUAGGGUAAUGGCCUACCAAGGCGAUGAUGGGUAGCGGGUGUGAGAGCACGACCCGCGUCAUUGGGACUGAGACACUGCCCAGACACCUACGGGUGGCUGCAGUCGAGAAUCUUCGGCAAUGGACGCAAGUCUGACCGAGCGACGCCGCGUGCGGGAUGAAGGCCUUCGGGUUGUAAACCGCUGUCAGUGGGGAGGAAGGCCGUGUGAAGAGCAUGGUUUGACCUAUCCGCAGAGGAAGUGUGGGCUAAGCUCGUGCCAGCAGCCGCAGUAAUAC